GGGCCCGUAGCUCAGGUGGUUAGAGCGACAGCCUUUUAAGCUGUGCGUCGUGGGUUCGAGUCCCACCGGGCUCA
rfam:Microgenomates bacterium 39_7 MPI_scaffold_660, whole genome shotgun sequence.